rnacentral:rRNA from 1 species
AUUGAACGCUGGCGGCAGGCCUAACACAUGCAAGUCGAACGAGUGGCGGACGGGUGAGUAAUGUCUGGGACACUGCCUGAUGGAGGGGGAUAACUACUGUAACCGGUCGCUAAUACCGCAUACCAUCGGAUGUGCCCAGAUGGGAUUAGCUAGUAGGUGGGGUAAAGGCUCACCUAGGCGACGAUCCCGAGCUGGUCUGAGAGGAUGACCCGCCACACUGGAACUGAGACACGGUCCAGACACCGACGGGAGGCAGCAGUGGGGAAUAUUGAACAAUGGGCGCAAGCCUGAUGCAGCCAUGCCGCGUGUAUGAAGAAGGCCUUCGGGUUGUAAAGUACUUGCAGCGGGGAGGCGUUACCCGCAGAAGAAGCACCGGCUAACUCCGUGCCAGCAGCCGCGGUAAUUC